UACGUAGGGUGCGAGCGUUAAUCGGAAUUACUGGGCGUAAGGCGUGCGCAGGCGGUUUGUUAAGUCUGAUGUGAAAGCCCCGGGCUCAACCUGGGAACUGCAUUGGAAACUGGCAAGCUCGAGUAUGGCAGAGGGGGGUGGAAUUCCGCGUGUAGCAGUGAAAUGCGUAGAGAUGCGGAGGAACACCGAUGGCGAAGGCAGCCCCCUGGGCCAAUACUGACGCUCAGGCACGAAAGCGUGGGGAGCAAACAGG
rnacentral:rRNA from 1 species